ensembl:lncRNA
UAUCAGAUAUGUCUAUCUGUCUGUCUCUAUCUGUCUAUCUCUGUCCCUGUCCCUCUGUCUAUCUCUCCAUCUAUCCUAUCUAUCUAUCAGAUAUGUCUAUCUGUCUGUCUCUAUCUGUCUGUCUCUGUCCCUGUCCCUCUGUCUAUCUCUCCAUCUAUCCUAUCUAUCUAUCAGAUAUGUCUAUCUGUCUGUCUCUAUCUGUCUGUCUCUGUCCCUGUCCCUCUGUCUAUCUCUCCAUCUAUCCUAUCUAUCUAUCAGAUAUGUCUAUCUGUCUGUCUCUAUCUGUCUGUCUCUGUCCCUGUCCCUCUGUCUAUCUCUCCAGUUUACUGAAGCUAUUAAGGGACAUUUUCUUUCAGGGAUUGUCAAUCAACAGAAAGCCAGCAGCUCACAUUUAAAUAUAGUUAUUUACAAUGAGGGUUUUGGUCACAUGAUAUCUACUUGCAACCAAAAGGUUUGUUUUGUUGGUGGUUUUUUUUAUAUGCCAUUUUCUUUAAUGUUGUUGUUUCUCGGUAUCUAUUCUUCUUGGUGUUUUGAAACUCCAAUGUUACAGCGCUCCGACACGCUUUGGGCUGAAACAACCAAGCAGCAGACGACUAGUCCGUAAAACCCUCCUCCACACCCCAUCUUCCAUCAGGAAUUUGAACUAACGUUUUGUUUACGGGCGCUAUACUUUACCAAAGCCCCAAGAUGGAGGGUCUGCUCAAUACCAAAAUUGAGUGAGGUGAAUGAGCACUUGUAAAGGCAGUCUCAGUGGAUGAUCUUGUGUUGAGCUGAAAGAAGACAGUGGAUGCUGUAAUCGUGUCAUUCUGAGGAGAAUUCUUUCAUUCUGAAACCAAGGAAUGCUUGUUUUGUUACAUAGCACCAGAACUCCACAGCACCAGAACUCCACAGCACCAGCACUCCACAGCACCAGAACUCCACAGCACCAGCACUCCACAGCACCAGCACUCCACAGCACCAGCACUCCACAGCACCAGAACUCCACAGCACCAGAACUCCACAGCACCAGAACUCCACAGUCACCUAAAUACACACACACACACAGUAACCCUUUAUAAUAUCUGGAAGUGUAGUUUAGCAGCUCCAACCUGACAGCUCGCUCUGUGUGUGAGAGCGUGAGUGAGCUCUUCGGCUUGUCUGGCCCAAUGAUGUAUAUAAACUCUGGAUGACUGACAGGGGGCGCUGUAUUGAAGCCAUCUUGGUAUUCCUCCAUUGUAAAAAUAAAUACAUGUAAAAAUGUUACUGUCCUCACUACAACAAAAAAUACUUAAAUACAUGUCAUUUUGUCCUUUGCAUUUAAUUGAAAUACUGUAGAAUUCCACUCAUUCCUAUGGAGGACUGAUCUUACUGGAGAGUGGCAAUAUGGCCGACCACUGGCUUCAAAGCCUCUCAUUGGCUAAUACAUGGCACCAGCAAUCCAGGGUUUUUAUGCCCCCCCCAUCCUCGC